rnacentral:sRNA from 1 species
GAGGAAGGUGUGGAUGACGUCAAGUCAUCAUGCCCCUUACACCUUGGGCUACACACGUACUACAAUGCUACGGACAAAGGGCAGCAAACUCGCGAGAGCUGGCAAAUCCCAUAAACCGUGGCUCAGUUCAGAUCGUAGGCUGCAACUCGCCUACGUGAAGUAGGAAUCGCUAGUAAUCGCAGGUCAGCAUACUGCGGUGAAUACGUUCCCGGGCCUUGUACACACCGCCCGUCACACCAUGGAAGUUGGCCAUGCCCGAAGUCGUUACUCCAACCCUUGUGGAGGAGGACGCCGAAGGUGGGGCUAAUGACUGGGGUGAAGUCGUAACAAGGUAGCCGUACCGGAAGGUGCGGCUGGAUCACCUCCUAACAGGGAGACAACAAAAUGUUUAAUAUUAUUAUUUUGUCACCUUAGGUCGAUCGGUAUCUCACGUUCUUAAUUUAUUAAGAAUUUCAUUUCCUAAGUUUUUCUAGGUCACACCCAAUUUUUUUCCUGGGCCAUUAGCUCAGGUGGUUAGAGCGCACCCCUGAUAAGGGUGAGGUCCCUGGUUCAAGUCCAGGAUGGCCCAUAUCUCUAUGUUGGGGGUAUAGCUCAGUUGGUAGAGCGCCUGCUUUGCAAGCAGGAUGUCAGCGGUUCGAGUCCGCUUACCUCCACUGAUUACCACCUCUUCCAUUUUCGGUAUAAAGGAAAUUUUUUGAGUUGUGAUCAAAUUCUGAACGAUUCUAGCUUCCUAAUGUAAUCAUUAAGAUGCUGGACUCAUUGAAUUAAUUUCAUUGUUUUCAGAGAACCUUGACAACUGCAUAGAUUAUUUUAAAGACAAUAAGCAUCUUUAAUGGUGCAGAUUUAUUAUUUGUGCGAAUGCAUUAAUAACAAUUCUAUUAAGCUGAUGCUUCAAUUUUGAAGUUAUUGGUCAAGCUACAAAGGGCUCACGGAGGAUACCUAGGCACACAGAGGCGAUGAAGGACGUGGUUACCUGCGAUAAGUCUCGGGGAGUGGAAG